rnacentral:rRNA from 1 species
CUACGGGAGGCAGCAGUGAGGAAUAUUGCACAAUGGGGGGAACCCUGAUGCAGCAACGCCGCGUGGAGGAUGACGCAUUUCGGCGUGUAAACUCCUUUUAUAUGUCAAGAAAAUGACGGUAGCAUAUGAAUAAGCACCGGCUAACUCCGUGCCAGCAGCCGCGGUGAAUACGGAGGGUGCAAGCGUUACUCGGGAUCACUGGGCGUAAAGGACGCGUAGGCGGGUUGGAAAGUCAGGUGUGAAAUCCUACAGCUUAACUGUAGAACUGCACUUGAAACUUCUAAUCUAGAGUAUGGGAGGGGGAGAUGGAAUUAGUGGUGUAGGGGUAAAAUCCGUAGAUAUCACUAGGAAUACCUAAAGCGAAGGCGAUCUCCUGGAACAUUACUGACGCUAAGGCGUGAAAGCGUGGGGAGCAAACAGGAUUAGAUACCCGCGUAGUC